ACUCCUACGGGAGGCAGCAGUUGGGGAAUAUUGCACAAUGGGCGCAAGCCUGAUGCAGCCAUGCCGCGUGUGUGAAGAAGGUCCUUCGGGUUAGUAAAGCACGUUUACAGUCGUGAGGAAGGUAGUGUAGUUAAUAGCUGCAUUAUUUGACGUUAGCGACAGAAGAAGCACCGGCUAACUCCGUGCCAGCAGCCGCGGUAAUACGGA
rnacentral:rRNA from 1 species